UACGAAGGGGGCUAGCGUUGCUCGGAAUCACUGGGCGUAAAGCGCACGUAGGCGGAUUCUUAAGUCGGUGGUGAAAUCCUGGAGCUCAACUCCAGAACUGCCUUCGAUACUGGGAGUCUUGAGUCCGGGAGAGGUGAGUGGAACUGCGAGUGUAGAGGUGAAAUUCGUAGAUAUCGGAAGGAACACCUGUGGCGAAAGCGGCUCACUGGACCAUUACUGACGCUGAGGCACGAAAGCUAGGGGAGCAAACAGG
rnacentral:rRNA from 1 species